AGUGAACUCUGGCGGUAGGCCUAACACAUGCAAGUCGAACGGCAGCACAGUAAGAGCUUGCUCUUACGGGUGGCGAGUGGCGGACGGGUGAGGAAUACAUCGGAAUCUACUUUUUCGUGGGGGAUAACGUAGGGAAACUUACGCUAAUACCGCAUACGAACUACGGGUGAAAGCAGGGGCUCUUCGGACCUUGCGCGAUUGAAUGAGCCGAUGUCGGAUUAGCUAGUUGGCGGGGUAAAGGCCCACCAAGGCGACGAUCCGUAGCUGGUCUGAGAGGAUGAUCAGCCACACUGGAAGUGAGACACGGUCCAGACUCCUACGGGAGGCAGCAGUGGGGAAUAUUGGACAAUGGGCGCAAGCCUGAUCCAGCCAUACCGCGUGGGUGAAGAAGGCCUUCGGGUUGUAAAGCCCUUUGUUGGGAAAGAAAAGCAGCAGGUUAAUACCCCGCUGUUCUGACGGUACCCAAAGAAUAAGCACCGGCUAACUUCGUG
rnacentral:rRNA from 1 species